rnacentral:rRNA from 14 species
AUCUCUUGGUUCCAGCAUCGAUGAAGAACGCAGCGAAAUGCGAUAACUAAUGUGAAUUGCAGAAUUCAGUGAAUCAUCGAGUCUUUGAACGCACAUUGCGCCCCUCGGUAUUCCGGGGGGCAUGCCUGUUCGAG